AACGAACGCUGGCGGCAUGCCUAACACAUGCAAGUCGAACGAGAACUUCGGGUCUAGUGUCGCCCGGGUGCGUAACGGGUGGGAACAUGCCGUUAGGCUGCGAAUCACUCAGAGAAAUUUGUGCUAAUAUCGGUUGAUGUCUUCGGACCAAAGAAUUAUCGCCUUUGGAUGGGACCGCGUUGGCUUUGUUAGUUGGUGGGGUAAAGGACGACCAAGGCGACGAUCCAUAGCUGGUCUGAGAGGGUGAUCAGCGACACUGAGACUGAGCCACGGCCCAAACUCCUACGAGAAGCAGCAAUGAUGAAUAUAGGACAAUGGGCGAGAGCCUGAGCCAGCAAUGCCGCGUGAAUGAUGAAGGCCUUGGAAUUGUAAAGCUCUUUUACCCGAGAUGAUUAUGACAGUAUCGGGAGAAUAAGCUCCGGCUAACUCCGUG
rnacentral:rRNA from 1 species